GUCAGCUGUACUAUGAGGCCCUCUUGAAACAAUGAGCCAGUCCCUAACAAGUGUUAAUGGUUGGUCUUGGCAUACAAAAGCUUUCAGUCAACAACCCACGAUAUUCUCCUCAACACUAGUAAAAGUUGUUGUUAGUUGUAGGCACUAUAUCAUUACUUGUGUAUUUUUACAUUAAAUACAGCACUGGAAAAGGACCCAGAUGAAGAACAAAGGCCCCAGAUGCAACUGUUACAGUUACAGAUAAUAUGAUUUCUGGACCUUCUAACUACAAACAAGCAUCUCACAGGUCAACAAGCUACAGUGAAUACAGUAGGAAAACAGUCAUUUUAUUCUGUUUCAUCAAGCAAAAUACUUCAGCUGUUUGAAGAUCAACUGUUUACUGUCUUUAGAAUUGUGAACACCACAAUUUGACUUGUUUAGAGUGGUGUGGUUAAAAUGCCUAAUCCUUACCAGAUGCAAAUACAUCAGGUUAAAGCAAGUUUUAGGUCAUCAGUCCACAAGAACUGAAGGUCCUCAAAGUUACGUUACAUCCUCUGAAGCCUGGAAAUGUGUGGAGGAGGAAACUUUGAAAAGAACUCUGGCUGCACUCCACUAUUUUCAAAACAUUCUUUCUAUUUUAUGUUGUAAUAAAAUGUAAAAUUUGUCAGAGGAAAUUAAGACUGAAGGAGCAAUUUCCCAGACACAUCUCCCAUAGAGGCAUGCUGUGCUGUUAUUCUUUGUUUCAAAGGGAACAACAAGCUAACUUCAGUUCUAAACGAGUUCAAGACCUUGCCCAGAAUCAAGACAGACAUUAAGUAAUCAAUAACAGCUGGAGUAAACCAUGGAUAUGACCUUUUAAACAACUUCUGGGAAAGCCGUAGAUCAUCUACAGGCCAUAAGGAAUUUCAGUGAAUUCAUUGCUUUACUACAUGCUGUGGGAAUUUCAUCCCUGCCAAUAGCUAAGCCACACUCCCAAACAGAAAAUAGAGUCCCAACAACAAAUGGAUUCACUCCAUGUGAAACUGUGCCCCAGUUCUAUAGAGCCAGACCAAAAGACACCCUGUGAAGAUUUUGUUUCAGCAUUUAAAAGCUGUACCUGUGUUGACGUAGUAGCAUUUGGUGUUAUUGGUGAUGGUGAGUCACUUGGCUUUGGCUCACCAGGGGAAGCUGCUGAACCCUGGGAUUCUUGGCUGGCUGGCUGAUCUGGUGAUAAAGCAUCACUGCUGUCUUCAUCAAAUGAAUAAUCAUCCAAAGCUUGAGGAUAAUUCUCUUGUCCAACUGCUACAACGUUUACAAAGAAACAAGCAAAACAUAGUUUUUUGUUCCACAAAUUGAAUUUAGACAUUGGUUGCACAAUUAUCUAAUUGCUGGAAAAUGAUCAGGUUUCAGCACAGUCUAAACAUAUGCAACCUUUACCCUCCUGAGUCAAAUUACUGUUUUCUACAAUGGCCUAGAGAUAACAGAUGGAAGCUGGGAGACUUCUACUUGCCUAUAAUAGCUUCUUUAACGCUGGAGUCUACAGGAAGAAUAUUUUUUUCCACCAGUUCCAUAGGGCCAGGCCUCUGAGCAAUUUUCUCAUUGAGAUCAUCUGCCAACCGCGCUCUCUUCAGUUUCAUCUGAGUGGCUUGUAGUGAAGGCUCUGCAAAGGUCUCUAAAAAGACACAUGGAUUUAAAGAUUCUGUCCCAUUUCUCUCCAGUCUCAUGGCAGCAUUGUCUGAUUUUUGCAAUAAUCACUUUUAUUAAAAGUUGGCAAGUAUUCUUCUGAAAACUCUCAAA